rnacentral:rRNA from 1 species
AACGAACGCUGGCGGCAUGCCUAGCACAUGCAAGUCGAACGAGACCUUCGGGUCUAGUGGCGCACGGGUGCGUAACGCGUGGGAACCUGCCCUUAGGUUCGGAAUAACUCCCCGAAAGGGGUGCUAAUACCGGAUAAUGUCUUCGGACCAAAGAUUUAUCGCCUUUGGAUGGGCCCGCGUUGGAUUAGCUAGUUGGUAGGGUAAAAGCCUACCAAGGCGACGAUCCAUAGCUGGUCUGAGAGGAUGAUCAGCCACACUGGGACUGAGACACGGCCCAGACUCCUACGGGAGGCAGCAGUGGGGAAUAUUGGACGAUGGGCGAAAGCCUGAUCCAGCAAUGCCGCGUGAGUGAUGAAGGCCUUAGGGUUGUAAAGCUCUUUUACCCGGGAUGAUAAUGACAGUACCGUGAGAAUAAGCGCCGGCUAACUCCGUG